rnacentral:misc_RNA from 1 species
GGCAUGUCUGUUUGAGCGUCAGUACCCACUCUUCUCGCGAAGGUUUUGAGGGAAUGCCUCCCUCCAACGUGGCACGCUUGCGAACUCACACACCGAUCACGACGUAGUAAACAUGCAUCGCCGGACGAAAGGUUGUGAGCCGCCUGAAUCAAACUCUGUAGUUUGACCUCAGAUCAGACAAGGAUACCCGCUGAACUUAA